UACGUAGGGUGCGAGCGUUAAUCGGAAUUACUGGGCGUAAAGUCGUGCGCAGGCGGCUCGCUAAGUCAGGUGUGAAAGCCCCAGCUUAACUUGGGAAUUGCGCUCUGAACUGCGGUGCUGGAGUGUGGCAGAGGGAGGUGGAAUUCCACGUGUAGCAGUGAAAUGCGUAGAGUAUGUGGAGGAACACCGAUGGCGAAGGCAGCCUCCUGGGCCAGCACUGACGCUCAUGCACGAAAGCGUGGGGAGCAAACAGG
rnacentral:rRNA from 1 species